AGUGAACGCUGGCGGUAGGCCUAACACAUGCAAGUCGAACGGCAGCACAGUAAGAGCUUGCUCUUACGGGUGGCGAGUGGCGGACGGGUGAGGAAUACAUCGGAAUCUACUUUUUCGGGGGGGAUAACGUAGGGAAACUUACGCUAAUACCGCAUACGACCUACGGGUGAAAGCAGGGGAUCUUCGGACCUUGCGCGAUUGAAUGAGCGGAUGUCGGAUUAGCUAGUUGGCGGGGUAAAGGCCCAGCAAGGCGACGAUCCGUAGCUGGGCGGGGAGGAUGAUCGGCCACACUGGAACGUAGACACGGUCCAUACUCCUGCGGGAGGCAGCAGAGGCGAAUGUUGGGCAGUGGUCGGGAGCCUGAUCCAGCCAGCCCGCGUGUGUGAAGGAGGCCUUCGGGUUGUAAAGCCCUUUUGUUGGGAAAGAACAGCAGCAGGUUAAUACCCCGCUGUUCUGACGGUACCCAAAGAAUAAGCACCGGCUAACUUCGUG
rnacentral:rRNA from 1 species